rnacentral:rRNA from 1 species
UACGUAGGGUGCGAGCGUUAAUCGGAAUUACUGGGCGUAAAGCGUGCGCAGGCGGUUCGCUAAGACCGAUGUGAAAUCCCCGGGCUUAACCUGGGAACUGCAUUGGUGACUGGCGGGCUAGAGUGUGGCAGAGGGGGGUGGAAUUCCGCGUGUAGCAGUGAAAUGCGUAGAUAUGCGGAGGAACACCGAUGGCGAAGGCAGCCCCCUGGGCUAACACUGACGCUCAGGCACGAAAGCGUGGGGAGCAAACAGG